rnacentral:rRNA from 1 species
UACGGAGGGGACUAGCGUUGUUCGGAAUUACUGGGCGUAAAGCGCACGUAGGCGGAUUUGUAAGUCAGGGGUGAAAUCCCGGGGCUCAACCUCGGAACUGCCUUUGAUACUGCAAAUCUCGAGUCCGGAAGAGGUGAGUGGAAUUCCUAGUGUAGAGGUGAAAAUUCGUAGAUAUUAGGAAAGAACACCAGUGGCGAAGGCGGCUCACUGGUCCGGUACUGACGCUGAGGUGCGAAAGCGUGGGGAGC